GCCCCGUCACACCCUGGGGAGUUGGUUUUGCCUGAAAGAACGGUGUUCUAACCGGCAAGGAGGGCAGCCGGGCCACGGUAGGGUCAGCGACUGGGGUGAAGUCGUAACAAGGUAGCCGUAGGGGAACCUGCGGCUGGAUCACCUCCUUUCUAAGGAAAGAUGUUGAGUAUCAUUGAAUUUAUUGAGUGAUCUGAACGUUUUUUGAAGAUUAAAGCUUUUAAUUAAGCUUGAUAUAAAUUUGCUGUUGUGAAGCAGCGUUUUUAAAAGGAUCGCCGUCCAUGUUUCUCUUUCUUUUCGGAUUUUUUGCGAUGAUGGGGGGUCGUUAAUAUUUGGUUUUGAGGGCCCGUAGCUCAGGUGGUUAGAGUGCACCCCUGAUAAGGGUGAGGUCGGUAGUUCAAAUCUACCUGGGCCCACCACUUUUUGUUCAGGGGGCCGUAGCUCAGUCGGUAGAGCGCCUGCUUUGCAAGCAGGAUGCCAGCGGUUCGAUUCCGCUCGGCUCCACCAUUGGCGUAAUUAUGGAAUUUUGUUCUGAUUUUUUGGAGCAAGAGUUUUUUGAAAAUUGAAUAGAAGAUAUAUUUUUUUGUAUUUUUUAUGUUGGCAUUGUAUGCGACAUAUAAGAUACCGGCGUUGUUAACCGCACGUUGAG
rnacentral:misc_RNA from 1 species